AAUAGAAACGCCACCAGCAGCGGACGCAGCGCCACACACGCAUUUUACUCCAUUAGCAGUCUGGGGGCCGCUCGGGAAACACAGUUGCGAGCCAGCAGGCCAACAAACCGAAGUAAAGGAGAAGAAGCAAAAGAAGAACAAAUCUUAUACAAAACAAAAAAAAUAAUUAUAUAGGACGUGUCUCUCCGUGCGUGCGAUUUUCAACCAUUUUCCACACACACAAUCUCGCAAAUCCCCUCACAGCACAAGGAUAUAUUAAGCUUCUAGUGUGUGUGUGUGCGUGUAUGUGACACGGUUUUGAUGUUACUCACUCUUUCCCGCGCACAACAACAACAGCAACAGCAACAACAACACAUGUCCCUGGCGUGUUUUGCCAAGCGUUAGCCGCGUGGUGGUGCUGCUACUUAGAAGAAGGCGCAAAAGCAAGAACAAGAUUGUGUGUGCGUGCGUACGUGUGUCUGUGUGUGUGUGUGAGAGAGAGUGUUUUUACAAAAUAAUACAAAUAAAACCACACAGCGCAGCACGAGCCAGAGCAGUCCAGCAUCAAUCACAAAUCGCAGGCAACAAACACAACUCAAGAAGGAAGAUCACCCCGGCAGGAUCAGCAGCACACCUCCUGCGUGCGUGCGCGUGUGCACAUGUGUGGGCUGCCCGCUGCACGAUCGUCUGCCGUGUCCAGCAGCGCGUACAGUGUGAGCGGCGGCAGCAUCAGCACCAAGCCGACGGCCAGGAAGACCACAUUGGCGUCGCUGGUGGCGUCGGCGGUGGUGGUGGCGGCGGCAGCAGCCGUGAGCAACAGCUCGCUGGCGUAAGAGCUGCAGCAGCAGCAGCAGCAGGUGAAGGACGGGGCCAUGUUUGAAGAUGGUAGCCACCGUCCACGCGCGCACCGGGCCAAGAUCGUCAACCUUUGUAGCGACGCGUAAGCAAGUGUAUCGUCCCUCCGGGUAGCACCAACGUGUGUGUGUGUGUGUAUGUGUGUGUGCGCGCGCGCGUGUGUGUGUGUACCAGCAGCGCACCAUCCCGCGUCGUAGCCACACACCCCCCUCCCGCCCGCCGCCCACGGGGUGCGAACGGUUGUUCCGUUUGGUUUUGUUUUGUUUUUGUUUUGCUUGCCGAGCAGACGACGAACCUCCCCGCCCAAACCUUCCAGCCGCUUUUUUGGACAGUGGAAAUUGUGUGUGCGUGUGUGCGUGUGUGUGUCAGUGGCAGUGUGCAGAAAGUGUGUGUUUCACUGUGAUCGGAUCCAGCCUAGCGCCGCCACCACCGCCCCAGGAAUAGCAGCAAAGCCAUCCCCCCGCCUUCUCCCCACGACGGUCCCGGCGUCCGCGGGAGGAUCGGGUGGAUCUCAAAGGAAUCUACUCCUCCAACUUCGGCUGUGUGAGUGUGUGUGUGUUAGAACAGUAACCGCGUGCAAAACCGCGUGCUUGUGUGUUGCCAACUGUAUCAGGAUCCUUCAAUCAAUCAAAGCAAAAAGGGAGGAAAUCGAUAAAAUACCCCAGCUACUCCUCCCCCGCAACACCAACCUCCUCCCGCGAUCGCGUCCGUGUCCUCCCGGAUGCGUGUUUCCGUGCGUGUGUGCGUCUAGUAAGCCCAAGUGGACAACAGUGUGUGUGUGCGCGUUUGAAAAAAAGUUUUAAUUUUGUGGCGUUGAAAAAAAAAAGCAAAAAAACUGAACCUCUUGCCAUCCUGCCCCUCGCCGUGGCCACCGACUGUGUGUGUCUGUGUGUGUGCGUGUGUGUGUGAAUAUCCUCCGGAAGUCUCCUCAGUCCUAAUCACACGCCCGACAGAGUGAGAGAGAGAGAGAGACUACGACCUACACACAAUCAACCCCGAAGCGGAACAGCGCAUCAGCCUCCUGCUCCUCCUGCUCCUCCACCCCUUUCUCUGUGUCUGUGAUUGUGUGCGUGUGCGCGUGUGUGUGUGUGUUUGCGUUCAAUCAAGUAUCUAAGCGCCCGCACAGCCCACCCACCCCGCCACCUUCUUCCUCCUCAAUAAACCAACCCCCCCCCUCCACACUUUCGUUCGCGGUGCGUGUGUGUGUGUGUGUGUGUGUUGGCCGUGCCGUCUCCGCGGACACCUUCGCAGCCUCCUCCUCACUCCUCCCCCUCCUCCACUUCGCCCCGCUCAGCCUUCUCUCCUCAUCGGCGACCGAUCGACGCACGACCAUCAAGCCGCGCUCGCCCAGGCUGGUACGCGGCGCGUCCGGCUUUGCCCACAAUCAACCGACCGUUAUAUAUGGAGUGCUGGACGGGUAACGCCCGCUUGGCGAAAUUCUUCGAUUAAGCAGCGUAAGCUGUCACCGACAUGGGCAGUGAUCAUUACUGCUUGAGGUGGAACAAUCAUCAAUCCAACCUUCUCGGGGUGUUCAGCCAAUUGCUCCAGGACGAGAGUCUGGUGGACGUCACACUCGCUUGCUCAGAGGGCGCCUCCAUCCGAGCCCACAAGGUAAGUUGCAAACGCGGGGAUAUCAUUUUCAGGGGGUGACUUUCAGGUUUAGGUUUAGGAUUUUGUGUGAAGACAUAGAACUAGGAGGUGGAAUCCAUUGUAAGGCUCUAGUUUGACGGCAGACGAGUUCGUUCCGAGUCGUCGAAAAUACAAGACAUCUAGAGCAUUCAAAACUGAAAACAUCCCGUGGAAUUCCAUGGACAUCUCCAAGAUUUGGGAGUUUCCCGAAGUUGGAGGUUGUUUCAUCUUGAUCAGAUUUAGAUCCAAGUCUUCGAAAAUACAAGACAUCCAGAGCAUUCAAAACUGAACUAAAACAUCCCAUGCAAUUUCAUGGACAUCUCCAGGAUUUGGGAGUUUCCCAAAGUUGGAGGUUGUUUCUUCUUAAUCAGAUUAAGAAGAUGUCCAGGUACAGUUGUUUAUUGAGAUUUUUGCAAGAAUUACGGAAAUAUUCUCACGCUGAAGAAUAUAGUAGCGCUACCAGUCUACAACUUCAUUGUGAGU